GAACACACCAAAUCUCAUCUGCUCUUGGAAGCUAAGC
rnacentral:rRNA from 1 species